rnacentral:lncRNA from 1 species
CCUAAUUGUAGCCAGGGGCACAGCUUGGAAGUGACAAAAAUGAGGCUCCUUGAAGCCAAAACUAGAAUCAACAUGCGAAUCACCUGCUCUGAGUUCCCUUCCCAAGAACAGAGCUCCCUGAGUUCUGGGAACAUUUACCUUUUGGGUGUGAGGGUGUCAUUUGCCCUUGAAGUAUUUCACAGCCCUAUAACUGGAUACUAAUUGCUAUGUUGGUGUCAGUGUUUCCUUUUAUUCAACAGAAGCUUAGUGUCAAGAAGGAUAAUUCUAUAUGUCAUGUUAAUAACAGAAGCCCAUCCUUUCACAAUCCAUGCCUCUCUACCUGCUGUUUCCUCUAGAACAUUCAUCCUGCCACACUCCCAUUCCACCUGACAAACUCCAUUCAGCCUUCUAAACCUUUUUUCUGUGCAGCCUUCCCUUAUCCUGAUGAUUAGUGGUCUCCUCUCUACUCCACACCUAACCCCACCAUGUAAAUAGCCAUUCUCUUGUUAUACAAAGUUAGUUAUGCACAUGCAUUUCAUGUCUGUCCUGUAGUUCCUUUUGUAUCCCCAGCAUCCAACAUAAGGUCUAGCAUCUAGUAGGCUCUCAGUUAGUGUCCAAGCCAAGGGGAGAAGAUCUAAGGGCAAAGACUGAAAUUCUAAAUUCUUUAAGAAAUCAGAGCAAAAUAUAAGGUGCAAUACCUAAAACAAUUAAAUUAGAUUACUCCUUCUUAAAGUAUUUGGUUGCACAGCCCUCCAGUGGCAAUCAAGGCAAUGCCCUGUGGCCCCUUUAUGGUAUUCAUUUAAAAGGCUCUUUGAGGCAUCUCUAGAUGCGGCUCUUUGAGGCAUCUUAAAAGGCUCUUUGAGGCAUCUCUAGAUGCGGGCAGCUUCCUUUACGACUGCAGAGCACGGCCUCCCCUCUGUUCCAACUGGAAGCUCGCUCCUGUACACCUUUUUGUCCUGUUUUCUCACGUUUCCACCACGAAGGAACGUUGUUUUCUUCCUCAGAGAUCAGCCUUCCUUGCCACAUCCUCCUCCACCCACCGCCUCCCCGAGCCAGGCAGAGCUGCGGGUGGUGGGGCAGGAGGGGGAGUCUAGCUCUGAGCCCCGG